rnacentral:rRNA from 1 species
UUUGUUUUUUAAGUUUUAUUAUUUGGUAUUGCAUAUCAGUAGAAGUUUUUAUCAUAGCUAUGAGUAAUAGAAUUAAAAUGGUUAAAUUGAAUUUGUUUUUUUUUUACGAAAUUAAUAAUAUUUUUAUUUAGUAUUGAUAUAACGUAUUUUUAUUUCUGUUUAUUUGUCAUUUAUAGGUUAAGUUAUAUUAUUUUUUGUUUGUAAAUUUUUAAAUUUUUGUUGUUGUUUUGUAAAUGUUGUGUGUUUUACAUAGAUUUUUAUUUUUUUUUUUUUUUUUUUUUUUGAUUAAUUUUUUAAUUGAUUUAUGAUUUUUACUUUAGUAAUUUUUAUUGUUUUGAUAGGUUUGUUUUUGAAUUUAUGUUUUUGAACUGGUUUUGUUGCUAAAUGUUUAUUAAAAACUUAGGUUUUUAUGUAAAAUUGUCUUCUGCUCUAUGAGUUUUUAAAUGGCAGCCUUAGCGUGAUGGCAUAAAAGUAGCGUAAGUGAUUUGUUUUUUUAAUGGUUUCAAGUAUGAAUGAAGUUUUUAGCAGCUUUUUUAUUUACUUUUUGUUUGAAUUAUUUUUUUAAUUAAAAAUUAUUAGUUAAGGUAUUACAAAGAUAAGUCUUCGGAAAUUUUGUUUUGAAUUUUGAAAUUUUUAUUUUUAAUUUUUUCUUGGGGAUGGAUUUUAAGAAAGUUUUAUACUAUUGUUAUUAUUAAAAAUUACUCCGGAGUUAACAGGGUUGUAGACAUAUAAAUAGGUUUUUAUAUUAGUGUGCUGCGCUACAUCGAUGUUGUAUAUUUUUUUUGAUAAUGGAGAGGUUUUUUUUUGUUUUGAGACUGUUCUUCUUGUAUAAAAAAUUGACUUGAUAUUAGUUUAGUUCGUCGUGAGACAGAGCGGUUUAUCUUGUGUAUUUUUGGUGCUUGGCGGUGUUAGUACGAAAGGAAUGCAAUGUGGGUUUAUAUUUAUGACUUUUUUAUUUUGAUGGAUUUUUU